rnacentral:Y_RNA from 1 species
GCUGGUCUAAGUGCAGCAGUUUUUGCUACUAGUUGGUCACGACCAGUUACAGAUUUUUUUUCUUCUCCCUUUCCACUGCGUCACUUGACUAGGCUUUA